UAUGGAAACCUUCUUGAUCUCAAGAUGGCGCCUGUGUACUGGGCCUGCCGCUCUUGUGGUUGCUUAUCUGGUUGUCUGCUCUAUUUUUAAACUGCUACACGCUUUUAAUCUACGACCGUCAAGCACUCUUGGAUAUUCGCAACUCGGUUGCGACCUCUUUCACAAAAUCUUACACUUUAGAUGUGGACUGCUCCUUUAACAAGACUGAUGAGUCGUUCACAUCGGCUAUCCCGGGACAUAUCCCCCGGUGGCCCCUCAACAUCCCACGGAGAAAGCCAAGGAGGAAACGAGGAAACCGUGGAGGAUACAUCGUGAAGCUGAAAGCUCAUCUGCGGGCUGGCUUUCUCUCGGAUCCUUCUCACGAAUCGCUUUACGGUGGCUCUACUACCUGGCGCCCACUGGAUGUGGCAUACCGGUGGCUUCGUCAUGUUCUCCCCCUGCACCCGAGCCCUGUUUCUCGUUCCGGUCUCCACCGAAUCGGCCUCGGCUCCCGACGUCGGGGAGUAACUCACAGAAAUCUACGCGCGCUGGAAAGAGCGUCCUCAUCUCCUGUUAUUAUCUCUCCACCAAAGAUGGCAUUAUUAAAUGCCCGUUCCUUGGUGAAUAAGACCUUCUUACUAAACGACUUUUACUUAGCUCACAACUUGGAUUUUAUGUUUAUCACGGAAUCCUGGAUAAAGGUUGGUGAUCUAACUCCAUUUUCUGAUCUGAUCCCCGAUGACUGCACAUAUUUUAACUCUCCUCGUCCGAGUGGACGCGGGGGUGGCAUAGUAACAAUUUUAAAGAACUCUCUCUCUGCACGCUGUCGAUUGGUCCCUGGAACGGCCUUUUCCAGCUUUGAAGCCCAGUUUCUUCACUUGGACUGGAAUGGUCCUGUAUGUCUAGUGGUGAUUUACCGUCCUCCGCACUGCACUAAGGAUUUUAUACAGCAUUUCACUGAACUGAUCGGCAAUAUUGCCACAAAUUACGAUCGCUUCCUAUUGGUGGGCGACUUUAAUAUCCAUGUCUGCUGUCCGUCUAACCCCUUAUCACAUGAGUUUCUUAAUAUUAUCGAUGCUUUUAAUCUAUCCCAGUGGAUCAGUGAUGCUACUCAUAUUCAGGGACAUACGUUGGAUCUUGUACUCUCAUAUGGGCUUGAUGUGACUGAUAUUGUGCUCUCAGAUUUUAUGAUCUCUGACCAUAAGCCUAUAUUAUUCACACUGUCUCUUCCAGAGCUCUCUUAUUUUUCAAAUACAACUGUAAGUCUUUCUCGCUUCUACUCUCCACAGUUUAGCACAAAUUUCAACUUGUGUUUUGCUGAAUGUUGCUCACAGUUGCACUUGGAUCAACCGUUAUCUGACUUGGAUGCUGAUCAACAUCUUAGCCUCUUGAACUCUGCCUGGCUUAAGGCAGCAAAUGCAACUGCCCCCCUUAAGCCUCACAAGCAAAAAACAAAAUCUGUACUGUGGCAAAACUCUGAUACCCGUCUCCUAAGACAAAACUGUAGAAAGGCAGAACGUAAAUGGAAACAAGACAGGCUGCAUAUCUCUCUUCAAAUGUUCAGAGACUCUCUUACUUCUUACCAGAGUGCAGCUAAGUCUGCAAAAGCUGCAUACUUUUCUAACCUAAUUGAAACUAAUCACUCUAAACCUAAGGUUUUGUUUUCAAUUAUUCAAUCUGUUACCAAUCCUUCUGUUAACACCUUGCCUGUUGCCUCUGAUGCUCUCUGUGAAAGCUUCUUGAGAUAUUUUAGUGACAAAAUUACUAACUUAAGACUUGGUGUCUGCCCCACUUUAACUUUAACCAUCUCUCCAGUCAUGUCAUCUGCCUCUGCCUUUUGGNNNNNNNNNNNNNNNNNNNNNNNNNN
ensembl:lncRNA